AUGUCAUUUCCAAGAAGACUUCCUUAACUACCCAGUCAUUCUCUCUUACCCCAUUCUAUUUUAAUUAACCUGCAUUGCACUUACCACCAUCUAUUUGUUUGCUUAUUUAUUGUCCACUCCCCUCAUCAGAAUAUCUGUUGUAGUCUUAGUGUUUAGAACAAUGCUUAGCAAAGAGUAGAUGCUCAACAGAUAUUGCUUGAAUGAAUGACUCAUAGAUGGGCCACUCAUGCACCACACAAAAUCAUUCAUACUUUUUUUGACAGAAGAAUAUACUUGAUGAUUAAAACAAACAAAAAAGUUAAUUUUGCCUGAAGAUAUGCACAUAAUGUUAACCAUUUAAAAAGAUUCAAUUUACUUACUUCAUCCCAUUCUAAUACAAAGUUUUGGAUUUUAGAACCAUUGUCACUAGGUGCCUAAAACCAACACCAAAAAACAAAAUGAAAACAAAUUAGUACAUUCAUAAAUGAUAU
rnacentral:lncRNA from 1 species